AUGGCGACGGAGACCGAGACCUUCGCCUUCCAGGCCGAGAUCAACCAGCUCCUCUCGCUCAUCAUCAACACCUUCUACUCCAACAAGGAGAUCUUCCUCCGCGAGCUCAUCUCCAACUCCUCCGAUGCCUUGGACAAGAUCAGGUUCGAGAGCCUCACGGACAAGAGCAAGCUCGAUGCGCAGCCCGAGCUCUUCAUCCACAUCAUCCCCGACAAGGCGACCAACACGCUCACGAUCGUCGACAGCGGCAUUGGCAUGACCAAGUCGGACCUCGUCAACAACCUCGGGACCAUCGCCAGGUCGGGGACCAAGGAGUUCAUGGAGGCCCUCGCCGCCGGCGCCGACGUGUCCAUGAUUGGGCAGUUUGGUGUCGGUUUCUACUCCGCCUACCUCGUCGCCGAGAGGGUUGUCGUCACCACCAAGCACAACGACGACGAGCAGUACGUGUGGGAGUCCCAGGCCGGUGGCUCCUUCACCGUCACUCGUGAUACGUCUGGGGAGCAGCUCGGCAGGGGUACCAAGAUGGUCCUCUACCUCAAGGACGACCAGAUGGAAUACCUUGAGGAGCGCCGCAUCAAGGAUCUAGUUAAGAAGCACUCUGAGUUUAUCAGCUACCCCAUCUCCCUGUGGACUGAGAAGACCACUGAGAAGGAAAUUUCUGAUGAUGAAGAUGAGGAGGAGAAGAAGGAUACUGAGGAGGGCAAGGUUGAGGAUGUUGAUGAGGAGAAGGAAGAGAAGGAAAAGAAGAAAAAGAAGAUCAAGGAAGUCUCUCAUGAGUGGAACUUGGUCAACAAGCAGAAGCCUAUCUGGAUGAGGAAACCAGAGGAGAUCAACAAGGAAGAGUACGCAGCUUUUUACAAGAGCUUGACCAAUGACUGGGAGGAGCAUUUGGCUGUCAAGCACUUCUCUGUUGAGGGUCAGCUUGAGUUCAAGGCUGUCCUGUUUGUGCCCAAGAGGGCCCCCUUCGACCUCUUCGACAACAAGAAGAAGGCCAACAACAUCAAGCUGUACGUGCGCCGUGUCUUCAUCAUGGACAACUGUGAGGAGUUGAUCCCUGAGUACCUGAGCUUUGUCAAGGGUAUUGUUGAUUCAGAGGACCUUCCCCUGAACAUCUCCCGUGAGACUCUCCAGCAGAACAAGAUCCUCAAGGUCAUCAGGAAGAACCUUGUCAAGAAGUGCAUUGAGCUCUUCUUUGAGAUUGCUGAGAACAAGGAGGACUACAACAAGUUCUACGAGGCCUUCUCCAAGAACCUCAAGCUUGGCAUCCACGAGGACUCCCAGAACAGGACCAAGAUUGCCGAGCUUCUGAGGUACCACUCCACCAAGAGUGGCGAUGAGCUGACAAGCCUGAAGGACUAUGUGACCAGGAUGAAGGAGGGACAGAACGAGAUCUACUACAUCACUGGUGAGAGCAAGAAGGCUGUGGAGAACUCUCCCUUCCUUGAGAAGCUGAAGAAGAAGGGCUAUGAGGUCAUCUACAUGGUUGACGCCAUUGAUGAGUAUGCCAUUGGUCAGCUCAAGGAGUUUGAGGGGAAGAAGCUUGUCUCUGCCACCAAGGAGGGUCUGAAGCUUGAUGAGAGCGAGGACGAGAAGAAGAAGCAGGAGGAGCUCAAGGAGAAGUUCGAGGGUCUGUGCAAGGUCAUCAAGGAGGUGCUGGGUGACAAGGUGGAGAAGGUCAUCGUCUCUGACCGUGUUGUGGACUCUCCUUGCUGUCUGGUGACUGGUGAGUAUGGGUGGACUGCCAACAUGGAGAGGAUCAUGAAGGCCCAGGCCUUGAGGGACUCGAGCAUGGCUGGCUACAUGUCGAGCAAGAAGACCAUGGAGAUCAACCCUGAGAACGCCAUCAUGGACGAGCUUCGCAAGCGCGCCGACGCCGACAAGAACGACAAGUCUGUCAAGGACCUUGUGAUGCUGCUCUUCGAGACCUCCCUGCUCACCUCCGGCUUCAGCCUGGAGGACCCCAACACCUUCGGCACCAGGAUCCACCGCAUGCUCAAGCUUGGCCUGAGCAUUGACGAGGACGACGAGGCGCCUGAGAACGACACCGACAUGCCACCCCUGGAGGAUGACGCUGGUGAGAGCAAGAUGGAGGAGGUCGACUAA
rnacentral:rRNA from 1 species